AGGCGCGUAGCUCAGUGGGAGAGCGCUACCUUGACACGGUAGAGGUCGGCGGUUCGAAACCGCCCGCGCCUA
rfam:Desulfobulbaceae bacterium A2 Ga0073110_1024, whole genome shotgun sequence.